rnacentral:rRNA from 1 species
UACGGAGGGUGCGAGCGUUGUCCGGAAUCACUGGGCGUAAAGGGCGCGUAGGCGGCCCGUCAAGCGUGUGGUGAAAGCCCGGGGCUCAACCCCGGGUCGGCCGUGCGGACUGGCGGGCUCGAGCACUGUAGGGGCGGGUGGAAUUCCGGGUGUAGCGGUGGAAUGCGUAGAGAUCCGGAAGAACACCGGUGGCGAAGGCGGCCCGCUGGGCAGGAAGGCCCCCUCACGGGGGCCGGCUGACGCUGAGGCGCGACAGCGUGGGGAGCGAUCCGG